CACUCCAGGAAGCAUUUCACAUGUGUUCUCACAAUUGGUUACUGGGAAAAUUAAGCCCAUCUUCUGUUAUUAUACUAAGAGAGAAUACUUGCAAGCUUGUACCUAUCCUGCAGAUCAAAUAUGAUUAAGUACUAAAUGAGACUAAUGAAGGAUUUUUAACCUUUUUUUUCAGACGGAGUCUGGCUCUCUGUUGCCCAGGCUGGAGCGGCGUGAUCUCGGCUCACUGCAAGCUCCGCCUCCCGGGUUCACGCCAUUCUCCUGCCUCAGCCUCCUGAGUAGCUGGGACUAUGAGAUCGCGCCACUGCACUCCAACCUGGCCUGGCAACAGAGCAAGACUCCGUCUCGAAAAAAAAAAAAAAAUUUAGGACUGAGGCAAAGAAACCACAAAAGGCCGGGCGCGGUGGCUCACGCCUGUAAUCCCAGCACUUUGGGAGGCCAAGGUGGGCAGAUCACGAGGUCAGGAGAUCGAGACCACCCUGGCUAACACAGUGAAACCCCGUCUCUACUAAAAAUACAAAAAAUUAGCCAGGUGUAGUGGCGGGCGCCUGUAAGUCCCAGCUGCUCGGUAGGCGAGGCAGGAGAAUCGCAUGAACCCGGGAGGCUGGGCUUGCAGUGAGCCAAGAUCGCUCCAUUGCACUCUAGCCUGGGCAACAGAGCGAGACUCCGUCUCAAAAAAAAAAAAAAAAAAAAAUUCAGAAUCAGUACUGUGGUCACCUCUGGGUACAGAGAAGGAGGAUGAAAUCAGGGAGACAUGCCAGAACUGCCCAAGGCUUAUUUGUUUACCUUUACCCACAUUCAAAAGUUUACUACACUCUCACUGUGGAGAUGUAGCUCAGAGUGGCUUCUCCUAGGCAAUGAGUGAGGAAUAUUUGAGUAAUUAGAAAAUAUAAUCCUCAGAGCACUACUCACCCUACUGUCCCCUCCUCAGUGUGGAAAUGCUCCCUCCUCCAGGGUCUUAAUUCUCACCAGCAACCACUCACCAAGUCGAUGUAAGGUUCUGACCUGUGAUGUCAUUUUUUCUGACAACAAAUAUGUGGAGACUGCUCAGUAUCAACUAACUUUCCAACACCAGCUGGGGAUCCAGUAAUUCAAUUCUGACAUCACCUGGUAUUAGCCCAGACCCCACAAGUCCAGGGCCCACCCCAGGACACAGCCCCCACUGCAGAUGCCAGUCCCGGCCCUGAUGUGCUGGGAGGGUGGUACAGCAGGGGGGAGUGGAGGCACCCUUAAUUCUAACCAACUGCAUAUAAAUCCAACAAAUGCUCCUCACUUUCAAUAAUUUGCUAGUACUACUAACAGAACUCAGAAAAACACAAGUUUGCCAGUUUGUUAUAAAGAAUGACCCCUAUAAUCCCAGCACUUUGGGAGGCCAAGGCAGGUGGAUCACCUGAGGUCAGGAGUUCGAGACCAGCAUGGCCAACAUGGUAAAACCCCAUCUCUACUAUAAAUACAAAAAAAAUUAGCCGGGCCUGGUGGCAGGCACUUGUGAUUCUAGCUACUUGGGCGGCUGAGGCAGGAGAAUCGCUUGAACCCGGGAGGUGGAGGUUGCAGGAAGCUGAGAUCCUGCCAUUGCAUUCCAGCCUGGGCAACAAGAGUGAAACUCCAUCUCAAAAAAAAAAAAAAAAAAAAAAUGGAUGACCCAAGAACAGCCAAAUGGAAAAGAUAUAUAUGACCAGGGAAGUGGAGGUCCCCUGGAAGGCCCCAGCCCUCGACUUCAACUGUCCUCUGGGAGGAGUCACACAAGGGCCAAUAUUCACUAGACCCUCCAGGGAAGGGAGUAUAGGACCCCCUUCCCUACAGGACUUGAGUA
rnacentral:lncRNA from 1 species